rnacentral:rRNA from 1 species
CCAAUAGCGUAUAUUAAAGUUGCUGCAGUUAAAAAGCUCGUAGUUGAAUUUCGGGACCAAUAUGUCGGUCGUGCCUCAGUACGUACUGGCAUUAUUGGUUUCUCCCCUCUGAAGAACCUUGAUGUCAUUAAUUUGGUGUCUUGGGGAAUCAGGACUGUUACUUUGAAAAAAUUAGAGUGUUUAAAGCAGGCUCGCGCUUGAAUACAUUAGCAUGGAAUAAUGAAAUAGGACGUUUGAUUCUAUUUUGUUGGUUUCUAGGAUCGAUGUAAUGAUUAAUAGGGAUAGUUGGGAGCAUUAGUAUUCAAUUGUCAGAGGUGAAAUUCUUGGAUUUAUUGAAGACUAACUACUGCGAAAGCAUUUGCCAAGGAUGUUUUCAUUAAUCAAGAACGAAAGUUAGGGGAUCGAAGACGAUCAGAUACCGUCGUAGUCUUAACCAUAAACUAUGCCGACUAGGAAUCGGAUGAUGUUAAUUUUUUAAUGACUCAUUCGGCGCCUUAC